UACGUAGGUGGCAAGCGUUGUCCGGAAUUAUUGGGCGUAAAGCGCGCGCAGGCGGCCUCUUAAGUCUGAUGUGAAAGCCCCCCGGCUCAACCGGGGAGGGCCGUUGGAAACUGGGAGGCUUGAGUAUAGGAGAGAAGAGUGGAAUUCCACGUGUAGCGGUGAAAUGCGUAGAGAUGUGGAGGAACACCAGUGGCGAAGGCGACUCUUUGGCCUAUAACUGACGCUGAGGCGCGAAAGCGUGGGGAGCAAACAGG
rnacentral:rRNA from 1 species